UUCUAAAUCGAAAUCAUUUCUACAUUAGUGCAUUUAGUCCCUUUUUCUAACACCAAAACAAGUACUCUCUUCAACCCAAAUUAAAUCCCACUUUGUUUUCUCUCUCCUACUCGCCGACCUGUACCAAAAUUAUGGAGGGAAUUCUGAAGAAAUACCAACAGAAAUUUAAGAAAGUACGAGAAGAAAUGGAUAAUUGGGAAAACCUUCAAUCCCGUUUAAUAUCUCAGUUCUCCAAUGCUUCUUCAAUCAUUCAAAGACUUCAGGUGAUUGGAGAUAAGAAGAACUAUGGUAAUUUGAAAGGUGUUGAUGGGAUUGAAGAUGCUGUUUUGCAAAAGCAAAUGGAGUCUCUCGAGAACAAUUUGCUAUCAAUGAAGAACACAAUGGAAGAAUUCCAUAAGAUCGUACUAUCACUGGAAAAGAUGGUUCGAGACAGUAAACAGCUUCUUGGAGGAGGAUCUCGUCAGCCUUCCACUAAACAAUUGCAGCAAAGGAUGGGAAUCAAACCAAGUAUUUCAGAUUGCUUAGAUGGGCUUGUUAUCCUGCAGGAGAUGCAUAAAUCUGAGUACCUUCUUAAAACUUCAGUGAUUUCUGCUCUGUUGAAUAUUGCUUUUAAGGCAAGGUACAUUAAGUAAAACAGCGUGUUUGACUGUUUGUUUUUGUAUGCAGCAUUAGGAAAAUAUUACCAUUUACUAAACUUGAACCUGGAGUACCCUGCGGUUCCUGUCAUUUGGUUAUUAGUUUAUCGUGGCAUCACAUUCUAAGAGUUUCCUGAUUGUUUAUUAUAUUGGGUAUAUGUUACCCUAUCUUUUGGAAACCAUACUAACUUAGGGAAUUCGUAAGCAUCAUUUGGGUUCCAAUGAUCUGGGAGCUUUGCGUCAGCUUUUGGUUGAUCAGCCCAAUAUUCCGAGAGAUGAAGUGCAGUUCAUCUUUGACAUCAUAUUUGCUGAAAACAUAUGUUGAAGUGUCUGAUUCAAAGCUAGUAUAUUGUGCGCCUGCCUUCUUGGUGUGACUCGCCGAUCAUAGCAUGACAGAAAUCCCCUUCCCGUUGAAGCACAUCUGAUUAGGCUACCGCUCAGUGUCACAUGACCGACAAUAUUACUUGUGCAGACGUUACAUCAGUAUCCGAAGUCCUCAAAGUGUCACUGGCGUUUUUCUGUUCUGUUGAGGAAAAUCUCUGGAGAACAGAAAACUUUCUAUGUAUGCAGUAUUAAGGCCAAAAUCCGUAUGUUGUGAAUAUUUAUUAUUGCUGUUGUAGCAUCAUUUUAGGUUGAUAAAAAAGGAGAAGCUUUGAACUCACUGGAACAUGUCAAUGUAUUUCUUCCUCAUUGGCAAAAAAUUUCAUUCUUCAUUUGAAACAA